rnacentral:lncRNA from 1 species
GUCCCUUUAAGGAAGAAAGGAAGUUACUUGGUGUCUUCAGCUCAAAUAAAUGACACAAAUGUAGAGCUGUUCCAUGUCCUUUGCAAAUGGACCACAGUGGUUUGGGGCAGCGCCCCCACAAAUGUGCACGCUAGAAUGUGCAUUACUGAGCAACAGAACGGCGAUGAAAAUAAUGUGGACAAACGCUGCCUCUCGUUGGGGUUUAGGGAAUUAUUCAGAGGUGCCAAGGCAAAUACUAGAGGAAAGAAUCAGCUAAAAGAUGAAGUUCAGCGCUUUGGCCCGGAGCUGACCACGGUCCAAAAGCAUGUACCUGGUCAGCCCGGAUUGGUCCUGGCCUGGGCAGUACAAUCCCGGGCCGUUGUGGAGUAG